rnacentral:lncRNA from 1 species
GUGAUCACCCGUGUCAGGACAAGGAAUGGCAUCUCCCUAACAGGACUCAAGAGCCUUUGCCAUUAUCUGUGGUAUUAAGCAGGUUUCAAUUAGGAUUUUAGGUGGAUUUUUUUCUUUGUUCCGCAGAAGUUUUAAUCAAGGCAGAAAAACUCUGACGCCUCAUUCUCCUCACAACAGUCAGUCACCAAAGCGUUGCAUUUUUCUUCCUGAAGCUUCCCCUCCCUCGGGCACAUUUUUAGCAAAAAAGAUGAGAUCCCAAGCUCUCCAGAUGUUGCCUCUCAGAUGUGCCUCAGCACGCAUCUCAGAGCCAUCUGGCCGCAGCAACAGCUGGACUGCUUCCAAGUGGAAGUGCUCACAGAUCUAGCUGUCCUGGGCUGCCUUUCUCCACGGUAGCAGGCAGAGGGAGCCAAGCAGAGAUGGGAGCUCUAGGAGAUUUUCCCACUGAUGCCCCUAGGCACCCCAGUCCUGGGCAGCCUCUUCUCAGACUGCCAAGGAGCCACCAUUGCAACUGAUGGCCUCGUCCUGUGAGAACAACCAUGCGUCAGGCACUGGCUAUACGGACUGAGAAGCUGAAAACUGAUCAGAGUCAAGCUGAGCCUAUUGACCGCUUUCCAUGUCCACAGAGAUAAACACGAACAAACCUAAGAUAAAACCCCACUGAGUGCACUUCCCUGGGACCAUUUCGAGAGCUUCCGACCUCUGGGAACACAUAUGUGAGCCAGCAGGAUGGCCACAUCACCCACAGGGCAGUGUAGAGGUGGAUGCCAAACGCAGAGAAACUGAGUCAUAAAUGCCUGUAACUCUUCCUGUGGGUGUGAGGAUCCUAUCUCUCAACCCAGCUUGAAUGGGAUUUGUUUCUGCAACUGGAAUAAUCUUAAAUUAUCCAUUCUGACACCAGAGACUCAGCACUUUCAGUUUCAGAGUUCAUCAUGAUGGUGGGAAACAUGGCAGCAUGCAGGAAGACAUGGUACUGGAAGAGCCAAGACUUCUACAUCUUGAUUUGAAAGCAGCCAGGAAGAGGGACUAUCUUGCAUAGGGAUCCAGGAGUGGACUCUUUUCCACACUGGGUAGGACCUGAGCAUAAAAGUCUCAAAGCUCACCUCUACAGUGACAUGCUUCCUCCAACAAGGUCACACCUACUUCAACAAGGUCAUACCUCCUCAUAGUGCUACUCCCUGGGCUAAGCAUAUUCAAACUAUCACAAAUAUGAAGUAGUUAGAUGUCAUUUACAAUGAAGGUUGAAACUUAUCAAAGGGAAUAUAAGUCAAUUUCCUCCUGGUGAGACACCAGAUUUUAUAAAUUUAUUUUUAGUUUUCAUUUGCUCUGUUACAACAACCUGACUUUAUUAGGAGGUAGAACCUGGUUGGUUGAAGUAGGACACUGAGGAUGUAUCUGGACCCAUGUCCCUGCCCCUCCUAUUUUCUGAUUACUGUCCGUCACAAGUGGGUGCCUUACCUUAUCACAUAGUCUUACAGCCCUGAAGUUUUGACUCACCACAGGCUCUUCCUCUAACUGAGCUGAAAACUCACACCAGUACCCUGGAGAUGGACUUGGGGUUACUGGAACCUCUGUCUGGUCCUCCUCCCAGUGCACAUUGAUGAACUCACCCAUUUUUUGAUUUUCACCAUUGCCUCUCUCUUUAAUCAGUGUACUGGGGAUGAGUGGCCAAGCAGAACCUGAGAUUUUUGCCCUAAAAUUCUUGUUACAAAAGUUCUAAAACUGUGAGAUAAAUCUUUCUUUCAAGCUG